AUGGUUGAAUUUUGAGAAAUAUCCACAACAGGGGAGCGAGACCUCUGAAAAAUGUAUAUUUUCUCUGAAUUCAUAGAAUAAUGUGAAGAUUCUGGGAAAAGUUGGGAUUCUGAGAUUAAAACAUAAAUCUUUCUAAUCAUAAUUCUGGCAGUUUUUGUGUCCUUCUGCUGUUGAAAGUCGUGCAACAUGAAGAUACUGAGAAGAUGCUUAAAACCUGUAUUUUUAUUCCAGCCAUAAAUAAAAUCAUGAGCUAUUUUUUUAAUCCAAAUUUGAUCCAAAGGGCCAUCGUUGGUUCCAGACCCGUUCUAGAACAUUCCUCUAAUCUUAAAGUCAUCAUCAGUUUCUUCCUUUUAACAAAUAUUUAUUUGUUCAAAUAUUUAAUAUUUAUAACUGGAAUAUUUGUUCCUCCCUCUCCCACUGCAGUUAGUCCUGUCCUGCAACCCUGUUUUUGCAGCUUAGUGAAGCCAACCAUCACUAACCUGGGGGUGGUUUUGGACCCAGAGAUGCGGAUGGACUCCCACAUUAGCCAGGUGGUUAGAUCCUGCUUUUCCCGGUUUCGCCAGCUACCAAAGAUGAAGUCCAUCCUGAAAGACGUGUCAUAUUUUCUCCCCAAGCCGGACCUGACCGUAGAUAUACUGCAACUCGUUUUCCUCUAGGUGAUCCAGAGAGGCUUGACCUUUGGGUGAGCAACCAAAAAAGAGAGUGCUGGACUCCCAAUUCAUUCUCCUGCUUGUGCAGUGAACACUUUGAGAGUCAUCACUUCACCACGGACGCCAGGGGGAGAGUUUGCCUGAAGGACACAGCCGUACCUACAAUCUUCUCGUCCUUUAAGGUCAAAAAACCUGUUCCAAGAAGGGAAGAACAGGUAAGUAGGAAUGACAAGGUAAGUUUUGAACGUCAUCAGCUUAUCAGAAAGUAAGAUUUAAAAGACCCUAUCAUCUUUGGUGAUCUCACGCCUACACAACAUCCUUGUUCUAAUGGUGAAAUUAAUUUAAGCUGAUUUUUUACCUGCUGACCUCUAUAACUUUAUUCCUGUUCCUAAUUACAAAGAAACACCUGUGCAGAGGAGGUGUUUUGAAGGUGACAGUUUCUGCUUAUCAAGCAACAAUUGACAGCUACAAUAAAGCCUGAUUCAUGCUUCUAUGUCAGCUCCAACAGGGAGAGACACGCACGCACGGACGGGGACGUUUAGCUCUCAUACUUCUCCGUCUCCUGGGGAGUGUUGCAAAGCAAUUCCCGGACCGGACAGCAGAGGGCGGAGAGCUGUUCUGUGGUAUCCUGUCAUGUAUCGGUCCAAAAUAGUGUGAUGAUAUUGUGUUUUUUGUACAUAACAGACUUUUUAACAGACAAAUUUGUCGCAUUCUCCUACACCUCUUCAUGGGCUUGCCACAGUAAAUAUUCUAUUUGGCGAGAGAUAAACUUUAUUGUAUUUAUCCUAGUGAAUCUAUAAUUAAACGGGUAAACUAGUAGCACCACAUCCAACAUCAAAGAAAGUAAAAUGUUAUUAUCAGGAGAGGGAGAAUGUUUAAGUGGUUAGCAGCAGUGUGCUAGCCGAUGGCCCCCUCCAUGAGGCCACCACCACAGCUAGGCAGAACACUAUUGUAGCUUCUUCUGGGGAGAAAAACACUUAGAGAAAAAAUAAAGUUAACAGCUGAAAUAGCAGGAAAUAAUACAGUUAAAGAGCAGAUUGUAGAAGAAAGAAACCCCUGGGUUAAACUGGUCUGUCUACUGCAUAAUGCUGAACUCUAACAUGU